rnacentral:ncRNA from 1 species
GACUAGAACUAAAAGUAUAUCAAUACAGAAAGGUCAUCUCAAUAAGUCAAUCAUAAACCUUAUUUCGAGUAUGGAAUGGUGGCAAGUCUGCUGCCAGUAGCUUCGAUAACUCUAGCUCCACUAGUGUAAAUCGUUACUGCUGCGGUUAAAAAGCUCGUAGUUGGAUCUGAGUUACACGUAAUGUUUCGCCUUUGGUGUUAUCGUGUGUGUAUGCCUCAACCUUUCUAGUGAGUAGUGAGUUUACCUUCAAUAAAUUAAAAUGCUGAAAACAAGUGCUUGCUUGAAUAGCUGAUCAUAAAAUGGUAGAAGAUGACUUCGGUUAUAUUCAUCAAUUCAAAAACUGGAAUAAUGGUUGAAAGGGACAAUUCAGAGCAUUCGUAUCCCUGCGCGAGUGAUGAAAUUCGUGAACGUAAACUUUGCCAUUUAGCCAAUUGCCAAUUCAAUGGCGUACUAAUAAUAGGGCGUUACCAAGCAGCUUCUAAGACACGAAAGUCUUUCGGUUCUUGGGUAGUAGGACCGCAAAACUGAAACUUAGGGAAAUUGACGGAAUCGUAAUACCAGGAGUAGAGCGUGCAGCUUAAUUUGACUCAACACGGCCAAACUUAUCUGGCCCAGACGCAGAAAAGAUUGAUGGAUUAAAGUUGGGCAAGUGAACCUGCAUCUAGACACUGAAAUUGGGCAACUGAACAGACUUCACGUUUUAAUACUAUAGUGUUCCUCGUACUAGACGGUUUUAGUUAUCAAUCCAAUAGUGUAAGCUUAAGAAUUGUCCACCUUCUGUUUUAAACAUUGCACAAGUAAGCCAUACUUUGGUCAUUAAAAUUGAUCAACUAGACCGUUUUAAUGGUUUUUACACUAUAGUGUUCCUCUUACUAGACGAUUUCAGUUAUCAGUUCAAUGUGUAAAAGCUUAAGCAUUGUCCGCCUUCUCUCUUGAAAUUGGGCAACUAAACCUAACCUACGCCUUUGAAACUGUGCAAACAAACGACUUCGGCCCUUAUAUAAUACUAUUAAUCU